UACGGAGGGUGCAAGCAUUGAUCGGAAUUACUGGGCGUAAAGGGCGCGUAGGCGGCUUAGAAAGUCGGAUGUGAAAUUCCCGGGGCUCAACCCCGGAGCUGCAUUUGAAACUCCUGAGCUAGAGUCAGUUAGGGUAAACGGAAUUCCACGUGUAGCGGUGAAAUGCGUAGAUAUGUGGAGGAACACCGAUGGCGAAGGCAGCCCCCUGGGUCAAGAUUGACGGCUCGAUGCACGAAAGCGUGGGGAGCAAACAGG
rnacentral:rRNA from 1 species